rnacentral:rRNA from 1 species
AUUGAACGCUGGCGGCGUGCCUAACACAUGCAAGUCGAGCGGUAACAGGUGUAGCAAUACAUGCUGACGAGCGGCGGACGGGUCAGUAACGCUUGGGAAUCUGCCUAUUAGGUGGGGGACGAACCCGGGAAACGUCGGGCUAAUACCGCAUACGCACUACGGUGGAAAGCCGGGGACCGCAAGGCCUGGCGCUAACAGAUGAGCCCAAGUCGGAUUAGCUAGUUGGUAGGGGUAACGGCCUACCAAGGCGACGAUCCGUAACUGGUCUGAGAGGACGACCAGUCACACCGGAACUGAGACACGGUCCGGACUCCUACGGGAGGCAGCAGUGGGGAAUAUUGGACAAUGGGCGAAAGCCUGAUCCAGCGACGCCGCGUGGGUGAAGAAGGCCUGCGGGUUGUAAAGCCC